AGGAUGAACGCUGGCGGCGUGCCUAAUACAUGCAAGUCGAGCGGCAGCGCAGGGUGCUUGCACCCUGGCGGCGAGCGGCGGACGGCUGAGUAACGCGUAGGAACGUACCCUAAAGUGAGGAAUAACUGCCCGAAAGGGUGGCUAAUGCCGCAUGUGCUCUUCGGAGUAAAGCUUCGGCGCUUUGGGAACGGCCUGCGUCCGAUUAGCUAGUUGGUAAGGUAAUGGCUUACCAAGGCUACGAUCGGUAGCUGGUCUGAGAGGAUGACCAGCCAGACUGGGACUGAGAACGGCCCAGACUCCUACGGGAGGCAGCAGUAGGGAAUUUUCCACAAUGGGC
rnacentral:rRNA from 1 species